AGACAUGGUGGUGGUGAAUAGUAGUUAAUUCAACAGGUAGAUCAGGUAUAUAGACAUGGUGGUGGUGAAUAGUAGUUAAUUCAACAGGUAGAUCAGGUAUAUAGACAUGGUGGUGGUGAAUAGUAGUUAAUUCAACAGGUAGAUCAGGUAUAUAGACAUGGUGGUGGUGAAUAGUAGUUAAUUCAACAGGUAGAUCAGGUAUAUAGACAUGGUGGUGAAUAGUAGUUAAUUCAACAGGUAGAUCAGGUAUAUAGACAUGGUGGUGGUGAAUAGUAGUUAAUUCAACAGGUAGAUCAGGUAUAUAGACAUGGUGGUGAAUAGUAGUUAAUUCAACAGGUAGAUCAGGUAUAUAGACAUGGUGGUGAAUAGUAGUUAAUUCAACAGGUAGAUCAGGUACAUAGACAUGGUGGUGAAUAGUAGUUAAUUCAACAGGUAGAUCAGGUAUAUAGACAUGGUGGUGAAUAGUAGUUAAUUCAACAGGUAGAUCAGGUAUAUAGACAUGGUGGUGAAUAGUAGUUAAUUCAACAGGUAGAUCAGGUAUAUAGACAUGGUGGUGGUGAAUAGUAGUUAAUUCAACAGGUAGAUCAGGUAUAUAGACAUGGUGGUGGUGAAUAGUAGUUAAUUCAACAGGUAGAUCAGGUAUAUAGACAUGGUGGUGAAUAGUAGUUAAUUCAACAGGUAGAUCAGGUAUAUAGACAUGGUGGUGAAUAGUAGUUAAUUCAACAGGUAGAUCAGGUAUAUAGACAUGGUGGUGAAUAGUAGUUAAUUCAACAGGUAGAUCAGGUAUAUAGACAUGGUGGUGAAUAGUAGUUAAUUCAACAGGUAGAUCAGGUAUAUAGACAUGGUGGUGAAUAGUAGUUAAUUCAACAGGUAGAUCAGGUAUAUAGACAUGGUGGUGGUGAAUAGUAGUUAAUUCAACAGGUAGAUCAGGUAUAUAGACAUGGUGGUGAUGAAUAGUAGUUAAUUCAACAGGUAGA